rnacentral:lncRNA from 1 species
UAGGAAAGCUCAGUAAAUAAAAGCUAUAGCUUUAGUACUUGAUUUCUAGGUGGGCUUGUGACUGUCCAGGAGUAAAAAGAGUUUAUUCUUCUUUAAGGGGAUGACUUGAUGUUGGAAAAGAGGAGGAGUCAAAGGAACCACUUUCAGCUGGGGAGCCAAACCCGUCUCGUUGAGGGAGCCUAGAGCAAGUUGUUUUAAUUUUACCCAGCAUUUGUGGAGCUUCUGAGUCGCUGAAGAGAAAGCCCUGGUUGCACAGGGAGCGAAAGAAGUCAAACCUCUACCAGACUGGACAGAAUUUGCAUGUGUAUCUCUUACCUGCAAGUUACAGAGUUAUCAAAUAUCUCAAAGAUAAUGAAAAUCGAGAAUCAGAUAACUGCUUGGGUUAUCUAGACAAUAACUGAUUUUCCAUUGAAACACAAUUUUUUCUAUACCAUUAUCCUUUUAAAUCGGGGAUUGGUCAACUACAACCUAUCGACCUGUGGGCCAAGUCUGGCCUGCUGCUUAUUUUGCACAGCAAAUAAGAAAAAUAGUCUUUAUUGAUGAACAUUUGCAAUUGAUCUGAUCAUAAGGAACACAAACUUUGAGUCCCAAGUUAAGUGAAAGGUUAUCCCCAAAACAAAGAAUCCCAUUUUUCUCAUUAGUAGACCUGUAUUACAAAAAUUUAUACUUAUCAAUUAUUAUCAUACUUUGAGUUUUGUUAAUAAAAAUCUAAUGAAAAUGUGUUCUCUCUUUUUAUGUAUGUAUGUAUUUUGGAUUUUGCUUCGUUACCUGAAGAGCCCAAACUAUUUGUUAUCAGGUAAUUUAUGAAAAAGCUUGCCAACCUCUAAUCUACUUU